GAGGGAAAGGUGAAAAGAACCCCGGGAGGGGAGUGAAAUAGAACCUGAAACCCUGCACUUACAAGCUGUGGAAGCACAUUUCUUGUGUGACCGCGUACUUUUUGUAGAACGGGCCAACGAGUUACGUUAAGUAGCAAGGUUAAGCACUUAAGGUGCGGAGCCGUAGCGAAAGCGAGUUUUAACUGAGCGUUCAGUUACUGGACGUAGACCCGAAACCGGGCGACCUACCCAUGAGCAGGAUGAAGCGAAAGUAAAAUUUCGUGGAGGUCCGAACCCACGAGCGUUGAAAAGCUCGGGGAUGACU
rnacentral:rRNA from 1 species